rnacentral:tRNA from 1 species
GGUUGUUUAGUUUAAUGGAAAAACAUCGGUCUCCAAAACCGAAGAUGGUGGUUCGAUUCCAUCAAUUACUGCCA